GACGAACGCUGGCGGCGUGCUUAACACAUGCAAGUCGAACGGUAAGGCCCUUCGGGGUACACGAGUGGCGAACGGGUGAGUAACACGUGGGUGAUCUGCCCUGCACUUCGGGAUCAGCCUGGGUAACUGGGUCUAAUACCGGAUAGGACUCCGGACUGCAUGGUCUGGGGUGGAAAGCUUUUGCGGUGUGGGCUGGGCCCGCGGCCUUUCAGCUUGUUGGUGGGGUGAUGGCCUACCAAGGCGACGACGGGUAGCCGGCCUUGGGGGGUGACCGGCCGAACUGGGACUGAGAUACGACCCGGACACCUACGGGAGGCAGCAGUGGGGAAUAGUGCACAAUGGGCGCAAGCCUGAUGCAGCGACGCCGCGUGAAGGAUGACGGCCUUCGGGUUGUAAACCUCUUUCAGCAUCGACGAAGCGAAAGUGACGGUAGGUGCAGAAGAAGGACCGGCCAACUACGUGCCAGCCGCCGCGGUAA
rnacentral:rRNA from 1 species